UACGUAGGGUGCGAGCGUUAAUCGGAAUUACUGGGCGUAAAGCGUGCGCAGGCGGUCUUGUAAGACAGAUGUGAAAUCCCCGGGCUCAACCUGGGAAUUGCAUUUGUGACUGCAAGGCUAGAGUACGGCAGAGGGGGAUGGAAUUCCGCGUGUAGCAGUGAAAUGCGUAGAUAUGCGGAGGAACACCGAUGGCGAAGGCAAUCCCCUGGGCCUGUACUGACGCUCAUGCACGAAAGCGUGGGGAGCAAACAGG
rnacentral:rRNA from 1 species